rnacentral:rRNA from 1 species
UACGUAGGGGGCAAGCGUUGUCCGGAUUUAUUGGGCGUAAAGAGCGUGUAGGCGGCCAUGCAGGUCUGCUGUGAAAACUCGAGGCUCAACCUCGAGACGUCGGUGGAAACCGUGUGGCUAGAGUCCGGAAGAGGAGAGUGGAAUUCCCGGUGUAGCGGUGAAAUGCGCAGAUAUCGGGAAGAACACCCGUGGCGAAGGCGGCUCUCUGGGACGGUACUGACGCUGAGACGGCGAAAAGCGUGGGGAGCGAACAGG